rnacentral:lncRNA from 1 species
AUACUAAUUAAUGCACAAAACUGGGGAAACAACGUUAAGAUCUGACAUAUCAUACAUCAUAUUUUGGAUAGUACAUUACAUAUAGAAACACUAAGUAGUAAUACCCUAGUCUAACAUGCCAUGUAUCAACAACAACAUAAAGUACAUGAACCGAUCCUAGGUAACUACGGAAAACUACAUUAUGAUCUCUACUAUGGUGGUCUUUUUGCAUCCGCGUGUGUAGUAAAUAUAUACACAAAAGCCUAAUCUAAAAGGUAGCCCGUAAGCCUAACUGCAUAACUUCGAAUUCACAUAUUGAUUCUUUGCAAAAUUAUCCAUAUUUGUAAUAGACCCAUAAUCAAGCAUAGUGUGGAUGCAGCAGAUGGUCGAUAACCCUUUCUCCUUUCCUAGGACUUGCCAAUUGUAUCUGCAACAAAUUAAUUCAGGCAAUCGUCAUCAGCAUGAGCUGGAACCGAUUACAAACACUAAGUUACGAACAAAGCAAAUACCCAAGAGCUUCUCACCACAAGACAAUAGAAUUGUAGCGAAGGAAAAUCUAUGCAAAUUUGAAGAUGAAAAGGCAACCUCGUGGAUAAGCAUAGAUCCUAGGAUUGUAUUGCCAGACGAAGAAGGCACAACAUGUACCACAAAGGGUACGAAUAAACAUCGUGUGAGAUGAUAUAACUCAUUUCAGAAAGGUACAAGGAUAAGAAUAGUACUCGUGAUUGAGGAUGCACCUCAUAGAUGGCAGACUAUGAAAUAAUAGCACUGUUACACAAUAGGACAUAAAUAGUGAAGAAUGUCAUUGUGGCAUAAAUCCCCAAUC